AUUGAACGCUGGCGGCAGGCCUAACACAUGCAAGUCGAACGAGUGGCGGACGGGUGAGUAAUGUCUGGGAAACUGCCUGAUGGAGGGGGAUAACUACUGGAAACGGUAGCUAAUACCGCAUACCCUCGGAUGUGCCCAGAUGGGAUUAGCUAGUAGGUGGGGUAACGGCUCACCUCGGCGACGAUCCCUAGCUGGUCUGAGAGGAUGCACAGCCACACUGGAACUGAGACACGGUCCAGACUCCUACGGGAGGCAGCAUUGGGGAAUAUUGCACAAUGGGCGAAAGCCUGAUGCAGCCAUGCCGCGUGUGUGAAGAAGGCCUUAGGGUUGUAAAGCACUUUCAGCGGGGAGGCGUUACCCGCAGAAGAAGCACCGGCUAACUCCGUGCCAGCAGCCGCGGUAAUUC
rnacentral:rRNA from 1 species